UAUGCAGGUAUCUGAAGCUGGAGAGAGAAUACUUACAGAAAAUCAUGAAAGUGUGUUGUUUUUUACUCUUUUUCAUAGGGCAAUACAUAUUUGUGAUUUUUUUCUAAUUUUGUAUUUUUGUGACUUAUUUUGUUUAGAGGUUAACAUACGAAGAAAGAAUGGCUCGUCGACUACUAGGUGCUGACAGUGCAACUGUCUUUAAUAUUCAGGAGCCAGAAGAGGAAACAGCUAAUCAGGACACUGGUUCUCCUCAUGCUUCUGUAGGGAGUCCUCUGGAUGGUCAAAAGGAAUACAAAGUCUCCAGCUGUGAACAGAGACUCAUCAGUGAAAUAGAGUACAGGCUAGAAAGGUCUCCUGUGGAUGAAUCAGGUGAUGAAGUUCAGUAUGGAGAUGUGCCUGUGGAAAAUGGAAUGGCACCAUUCUUUGAGAUGAAGCUGAAACAUUACAAGAUCUUUGAGGGAAUGCCAGUAACUUUCACAUGUAGAGUGGCUGGAAAUCCAAAGCCAAAGAUCUAUUGGUUUAAAGAUGGGAAGCAGAUCUCUUCAAAGAGUGAUCACUACACCAUUCAAAGAGAUCUCGAUGGGACCU
rnacentral:sRNA from 1 species